UGGGGUGUCGCCAAGCGGUAAGGCUACGGACUCUGACUCCGUCAUUCGGGAGUUCAAAUCUCUCCACCCCAGCCA
rnacentral:tRNA from 3 species